rnacentral:tRNA from 3 species
GGAAGUAUAACUCAGUUGGUCAGAGUAGUCGGCUCAUAACCGACCUGUCACAGGUUCGAGUCCUGUUGCUUCCA